rnacentral:tRNA from 1 species
AGCCCCGUAGUAUAUUUAUACACGAGAUUGCAAAUCCCGAGAAGGAGAAUAAGCUUCUCCCGGGGCUU